rnacentral:rRNA from 1 species
GACGAACGCUGGCGGCGUGCCUAAUACAUGCAAGUCGAGCGAACGGCGAAGAAGCUUGCUUCUUCAAUGUUAGCGGCGGACGGGUGAGUAACACGUGGGCAAUCUGCCCGUAAGACUGGGAUAACUCCGGGAAACCGGGGCUAAUACCGGAUAACACUUUUCAUCUCCUGGUGGAAAGUUGAAAGAUGGUUUCGGCUAUCACUUACGGAUGAGCCCGCGGCGCAUUAGCUAGUUGGUGAGGUAACGGCUCACCAAGGCGACGAUGCGUAGCCGACCUGAGAGGGUGAUCGGCCACACUGGGACUGAGACACGGCCCAGACUCCUACGGGAGGCAGCAGUAGGGAAUCUUCCGCAAUGGACGAAAGUCUGACGGAGCAACGCCGCGUGAGUGAAGAAGGUUUUCGGAUCGUAAAACUCUGUUGUUAGGGAAGAACACGUACGAGAGUAACUGCUCGUACCUUGACGGUACCUAACCAGAAAGCCACGGCUAACUACGUGCCAGCAGCCGCGGUAA